rnacentral:rRNA from 1 species
CGGGUGAGUAAUGCGUGACCAACCUGCCCCAUGCUCCAGAAUAGCUCUUGGAAACGGGUGGUAAUGCUGGAUGCUCCAACUUGACGCAUGUCUUGUUGGGAAAGUGUUUAGUGGCAUGGGAUGGGGUCGCGUCCUAUCAGCUUGUAGGCGGGGUAAUGGCCCACCUAGGCUUCGACGGGUAGCCGGCCUGAGAGGGCGGACGGCCACAUUGGGGACUGAGAUACGGCCCAGACUCCUACGGGAGGCAGCAGCG